rnacentral:rRNA from 1 species
AACGAACGCUGGCGGCGUGGAUAAGGCAUGCAAGUCGAACGCGAAAGCCACCUUCGGGUGGUGAGUAGAGUGGCAAACGGGUGAGUAACACGUGGGCAACUUACACUUAGGCGGGGGACAACAUCGGGAAACCGGUGCUAAUACCGCAUAACGUCUUGGGAUCACCUGGUCCCGAGACCAAAGGUGGGGAUUCUUCGGAACCUGCCGCCUAGGGAUAGGCCCGCGCCUGAUUAGCUUGUUGGUGGGGUAAUGGCUCACCAAGGCUCCGAUCAGUAGCCGACCUGAGAGGGUGACCGGCCACACUGGGAUUGAGAUACGGCCCAG